rnacentral:lncRNA from 11 species
AAAAGAAAUGAGAAAAAGUUUAUUGUUAUUUUAAUAAUUAUUAAUAUUAUUAUUAUUUGGAAGGAAUCUGUGUUCUUUCGGAAGGCUUCUCAGCAGGACGGCGGCUUUUCAUUGCAUUGAGUGUUCAAGUAAAAGCGGUAUUUUCCGUCAUAAGUUUUGAGGUCUCUGAAGCAAAGAACGGCAGCUUUGUCACAUUCGCAGAUCUGCUUUUCACACGAACUUCCUUCACCUAAGAGAGGAAUAUUGCAUUUAUUGCCAUUGCAUGCUAUACUACCCUGUUUCCCCGAAAAUAAGAUAUCCCCUGAAAUUAAGACCUAGCAAAGAUUUUGUUUGGAAGCAUGCCCGCCGAACAGAACACCACUGGGCUGUGGCGCAGGCUGGAGAGCAAGCCAGCUGAAACCAGCUGCAAUGAAUCACUCUGACCAGGAGGUCAUGAGUUCGAGGCCCGCUCGGAGCCUAUGUUUGUCUUGUCUUUGUUCUAUGUUAAAAGGCAUUGAAUGUUUGCCUAUAUGUGUAAUGUGAUCCGCCCUGAGUCCCCUUCGGGGUGAGAAUGGCGGAAUAUAAAUGCUGUAAAUAAAUAAUAAAUAAUAACAUGCAGGAUCGGUACAUUUAUGUACCAUAGAUUAUUGUACAUGGAAAUAAUGGUAGUAACAAGAAAUUCUUGUUUGUGAUGACAACUACUAUACAGUAUAUAAUAAAAGUUCAUUUUUUUA